AGUGAACGCUGGCGGUAGGCCUAACACAUGCAAGUCGAACGGCAGCAUGGUCUUAGCUUGCUCAUACGGGUGGCGAGUGGCGGACGGGUGAGGAACACAUCGGCAUCUACUUUCUCGGGGGGGAAAACGUCGGGAAACUUACGCUUAUACCGCAUACCACCUUCGGGUGAAAGCAGGAUAUCUUCGGACCUUACUCGACUGUAUGAGACGCUGUCGGGUCAGCUUGUUGGCGGGGUAAUGGCCCCCCACGGCGACGAUCCGUAGUUGGUGUGAGAGGAUGAUCAGCCACACUGGAACUGAGACACGGUCCAGACUCCAACGGGAGGCAGCAGUGGGGAAUGUUGGACAAUGGGCGGAAGCCUGAUCCAGCCAUGCCGCGUGGGUGGAGAAGGCCUUCGGGUUGUAAAGCCCUUUUGUUGGGAAAGAAAAGCAGCAAGUUAAUACCCCGGUUUUCUGACGGUACCGUAAGAAUAAGCACCGGCUAACUUCGUG
rnacentral:rRNA from 1 species